rnacentral:rRNA from 1 species
AAUCAACGCUGGCGGCGUGCCUAACACAUGCAAGUCGAACGCGACUGGGGCUUCGGCCUCAGUUGAGUGGCGAACGGGUGAGUAACACGUGGGUGACCUACCUUCGAAUGGGGGAGUAACGUCCCGAAAGGGACGCUAAUACCGCAUAACAUCCCGCCCUUUGAACAGGCGGAGAUCAAAGCCGGGGAUCGCAAGACCUGGCGUUUGAAGAGGGGCCCGCGUCCGAUUAGCUAGUUGGUGAGGUAACGGACGUCA